UAGAGCAUUACAAAAUAUAAAGUUUAUUCACCAUGUGUUGGCAUCACAAUAGUAUUACUCCUCUUGAGUGCUUCAACAAAAUGUCCUUCUAUCAUCCAGCCCAUGGAAUAUGCCAUUUUGUUCAAACACCGUUGUAAAGAAAUUAGAAUUUUCCCCUGCAAGUAGAACUGCACAAUUGUUACUUGUCACUAAAAACGCUAACUACUUUAAUGAAAAUGCAUACUAUUUACUGUACAAUAUUUUACAACAGCACUUCCAAAUCUGCACCUAACCAUAUAUCAAGUAUUGUUCCUAAACAACUACAUUACAGUAAAUUCCGCCACUCCAUUCUGAACCUAUAUCAAAUCACAGUACACUAAUUUCUGAACCUAUAUCAAACUACAGUACAAUAUUUUCUGAACCUAUAUCAAACUAAAAUACAGUAUUUUCUAAACGACUGAACCUAUAUCAAACUACAUGACACAUUGAUCAUAACAGGAUAAUGCACAGGCGAGCGCACAACAACAUCACACAUUGAUCAUAGGCCCAAGUAGGCAUAUUUACAUGGAUGAGGUUCAUGAGCACAUCAGACGAUAGACUACAGAGCAUGAACGACCUCGACCGUACUUAAUGGGAACCGUGUAACUAAGAAACCUGUGUCCAGCUCAAGUACUACUUUCAACUACCUGUAUGGCCAAUAGUUGUUAAAUUUGACUACCUAAUCUAUAACAAAAAUGUGUAAAAUCUGGAAAUUCAACCACUUUCAGUACAAUUUUCUUUAGGUUUUCUUGUUUUUCUUAGGAGAUAACAAGUAACACAAGUGAACAAAUCGAAUCAAAGGGGAUUAAGGGCUGCUGUAGUACAAGGAAAGACCGAAAGAGAAGAGAGGAGGAGAGGGGGGCAGACCUCCAUGGACAUGCACAUCGCCCCAUCUCCCUUGCCCUUCUUCUUCUGGUCCUUAUGGUCCUUUCUCAUCCAUCCCCUUCCUCUCCUUUUCUCUGCACAUGGAAUUGACAUACUAAUUCAGGAAUUUUUCAGCUGAAUAUAUAGGUCAAAGAUUAGCAUCCUGAUUAUAUACUUUACUGAACUGAAUAUAUAUGAUGGAUUUACUUCGGUUUUUCAGCUGUUGUGGUCAAAAGUUCUAAACUUGACUGAUAUUCUACCAAAUUAUUUACUGGAUGUGAUCCAGUGUGUUGUUGUAAAUACAAAUAAAUAUACUUUUAAUCAAUAUUUGCACAUCCCUAACCUCUACGCUCCAGCCAUGAUUUACUAUGUAAUUACGAAGUUCUUAGCUUUCUCAUCUUUUAGAAUUAGAACAUGACACUACUUAGAUAUAUCUCCUUGACACAGAGAUCCUAAAAAACAUCAGGCACAUAAGCCUAAACAAAAUAGUGGUGGUUACCUUGGAUUCAUUGGUUCAGAUCUCAUGGCUCCAUAGGAUGGUGAUGCAAAAGAACACUACUUUUUUGUGAAUUUAGUAGCAAACCUGCAAUGCACAAAAAAGAUGAAAUGGUUAAUAAAUGUGCCAAUCAUUCUGAAGCUAGCUAUCAUGCGAAGAUAGAGAAGGAAGGUGACAACGGGUAAGGAAUGCUAUCAUGGUCUAAAAUAAAAUUAAAAACCCUUUGGAAUCUCAGAAACUAUUAUCAUAGAGAUUAGCUAGCUACCAUGCAAUAAUUUUAGAAAACGACAGGUAUAAGCAAUGUGACACAGAAAAGCAAGACAAUCAUUGACCAUGAAAGAAAUAUAUCGGUAACAUCUUCCUUAUAACAUGUCUAUUUCUAAUGAUAAGAUAUGAACAAUAAUAACAUGUAAUGGCGCAAUCGUCACCACGAUCUACUUUCAAACCUCCUCCACACCGCAGAAGGAACACUGGAAGAUCAGAAUAUGAUGGCAGCCUGACAAAGCUGUAGCCCACCCAAAUAGGAGCAAGAUUGGUGCCCAACAUCAAUUGAC
rnacentral:lncRNA from 1 species